rnacentral:tRNA from 1 species
GCCUAAUUAGCUCAAUUGGUAGAGUUACUGUUUUGUAAGCAGUGUGUUGUCAGUUCAAUUCUGGCAUUAGGCA